UACGUAGGGUGCGAGCGUUAAUCGGAAUUACUGGGCGUAAAGCGUGCGCAGGCGGCGCGUUAAGACAGGUGUGAAAGCCCCGAGCUUAACUUGGGAAUUGCGCUUGUGACUGGCGUGCUGGAGUGUGGCAGAGGGAGGUGGAAUUCCACGUGUAGCAGUGAAAUGCGUAGAUAUGCGGAGGAACACCGAUGGCGAAGGCAGUCCCCUGGGCCUGUACUGACGCUCAUGCACGAAAGCGUGGGGAGCAAACAGG
rnacentral:rRNA from 1 species